UGGGGAAUAUUGGGCAAUGGGGGGAACCCUGACCCAGCAACGCCGCGUGAAGGAAGAAGGUUUUCGGAUUGUAAACUUCUGUCCUUGGUGAAGAGGAAGAGACGGUAGCCAAGGAGGAAGCCCCGGCUAACUACGUGCCAGCAGCCGCGGUAAUACGUAGGUGGCAAGCGUUGUCCGGAAUUACUGGGUGUAAAGGGCGCGUAGGCGGGAGAACAAGACAGAUGUGAAAUCCCAGGGCUUAACUCUGGAGCUGCAUCUGAAACUGUUUUUCUUGAGUACUGGAGAGGAAAGUGGAAUUCCUAGUGUAGCGGUGAAAUGCGUAGAGAUUAGGAGGAACACCAGUGGCGAAGGCGGCUUUCUGGACAGUAACUGACGCUGAUGCGCGAAAGCGUGGGGAGCAAACAGG
rnacentral:rRNA from 1 species